rnacentral:rRNA from 1 species
UACGUAGGUGGCAAGCGUUAUCCGGAUUUAUUGGGCGUAAAGCGCGCGCAGGUGGUUUCUUAAGUCUGCUGUGAAAGCCCACGGCUCAACCGUGGAGGGUCAUUGGAAACUGGGAGACUUGAGUGCAGAAGAGGAAAGUGGAAUUCCAUGUGUAGCGGUGAAAUGCGUAGAGAUAUGGAGGAACACCAGUGGCGAAGGCGACUUUCUGGUCUGUAACUGACACUGAGGCGCGAAAGCGUGGGGAGCAAACAGG